AACGUAGGAGACAAACGUUAUCCGGAGUUACUGGGCGUAAAGGGCGUGUAGGUGGUAGUGUAAGUCUGGCGUGAAAUUUUUCGGCUUAACCGGGAAAGGUCGUCGGAUACUGCACAACUAGAGGACGGUAGAGGCGUGUGGAAUUCCGGGUGUAGUGGUGAAAUGCGUAGAGAUCCGGAGGAACACCAGUGGCGAAGGCGACACGCUGGGCCGUACCUGACACUUAGGCGCGAUUGCAUGGGGAGCAAACAGG
rnacentral:rRNA from 1 species